rnacentral:rRNA from 1 species
CCCGGCACAAGCGGAGGAGCAUGUGGUUUAAUUCGAUGAUACGCGAGGAACCUUACCUGGGCUCGAACGUAAGAUGACUGUAGGUGAAAGCUUACAUCUCUUCGGAGCAUUUUACGAGGUGCUGCAUGGUUGUCGUCAGCUCGUGCCGUGAGGUGUCGGGUUAGUCCCAUAACGAGCGCAACCCCUAUCAUUAGUUGCCAUCAGGUCAAGCUGGGGACUCUAAUGAAACUGCCUACGCAAGUAGUGAGGAAGGUGGGGAUGACGUCAAAUCAGCACGGCCCUUACGGCCUGGGCUACACACGUGCUACAAUGGUCGGUACAAAGGGUUGCCAAGCCGCGAGGUGGAGCUAAUCCCAUAAAACCGAUCGUAGUCCGGAUCGCAGUCUGCAACUCGACUGCGUGAAGUCGGAAUCGCUAGUAAUCGUGAAUCAGAAUGUCACGGUGAAUACGUUCCCGGGCCUU